rnacentral:rRNA from 1 species
UUCUGUAGCAAGGUUAACCGCAUAGGGGAGCCGAAGGGAAACCGAGUCUUAAUUGGGCGUUAAGUUGCAGGGUAUAGACCCGAAACCCGGUGAUCUAGCCAUGGGCAGGUUGAAGGUUGGGUAACACUAACUGGAGGACCGAACCGACUAAUGUUGAAAAAUUAGCGGAUGACCUGUGGCUGGGGGUGAAAGGCCAAUCAAACCGGGAGAUAGCUGGUUCUCCCCGAAAGCUAUUUAGGUAGCGCCUCGUGAACUCAUCUCCGGGGGUAGAGCACUGUUUCGGCUAGGGGGCCAUCCCGGCUUACCAACCCGAUGCAAACUGCGAAUACCGGAGAAUGUUAUCACGGGAGACACACGGCGGGUGCUAACGUCCGUCGUGAAGAGGGAAACAACCCAGACCGCCAGCUAAGGUCCCAAAGUCAUGGUUAAGUGGGAAACGAUGUGGGAAGGCCCAGACAGCCAGGAUGUUGGCUUAGAAGCAGCCAUCAUUUAAAGAAAGCGUAAUAGCUCACUGGUCGAGUCGGCCUGCGCGGAAGAUGUAACGGGGCUAAACCAUGCACCGAAGCUGCGGCAGCGACACUUUAGUGUUGUUGGGUAGGGGAGCGUUCUGUAAGCCGUUGAAGGUGUCCUGUGAGGGGUGCUGGAGGUAUCAGAAGUGCGAAUGCUGACAUAAGUAACGAUAAAGCGGGUGAAAAGCCCGCUCGCCGGAAGACCAAGGGUUCCUGUCCAACGUUAAUCGGGGCAGGGUGAGUCGACCCCUAAGGCGAGGCCGAAAGGCGUAGUCGAUGGGAAACGGGUUAAUAUUCCCGUACUUGGUGUUACUGCGAAGGGGGGACGGAGAAGGCUAUGUUGGCCGGGCGACGGUU